GAUGAACGCUAGCGGCAGGCUUAAUACAUGCAAGUCGAGGGGCAGCAUGAUUGUAGCAAUACAAUUGUUGACGACCGGCAAACGGGUGCGGAACACGUACACAACCUUCCUACAAGUGGGGAAUAGCCCAGAGAAAUUUGGAUUAAUACCCCGUAACAUAGCGAUGUGGCAUCACAUUGCUAUUAUAGCUUCGGCGCUUGUUGAUGGGUGUGCGGCUGAUUAGAUAGUUGGCGGGGUAACGGCCCACCAAGUCUACGAUCAGUAGCUGAUGUGAGAGCAUGAUCAGCCACACGGGCACUGAGACACGGGCCCGACUCCUACGGGAGGCAGCAGUAAGGAAUAUUGGACAAUGGACGCAAGUCUGAUCCAGCCAUGCCGCGUGAAGGAUUAAGGUCUUCUGGAUUGUAAACUUCUUUUAUAAGGGACGAAAAAAGGUCUUUCUAGAUCGUCUGACGGUACCUUAUGAAUAAGCACCGGCUAACUCCGUGCCAGCAGCCGCAGUAAGAC
rnacentral:rRNA from 1 species